UACGUAGGGUGCAAGCGUUAAUCGGAAUUACUGGGCGUAAAGCGUGCGCAGGCGGUAAUGUAAGACAGAUGUGAAAUCCCCGGGCUCAACCUGGGAACUGCAUUUGUGACUGCAUUGCUGGAGUGCGGCAGAGGGGGAUGGAAUUCCGCGUGUAGCAGUGAAAUGCGUAGAUAUGCGGAGGAACACCGAUGGCGAAGGCAAUCCCCUGGGCCUGCACUGACGCUCAUGCACGAAAGCGUGGGGAGCGAAACAAGGAUUGAGAAACC
rnacentral:rRNA from 1 species